rnacentral:rRNA from 1 species
CCCGCACAAGCAGCGGAGCGUGUGGUUAAUUCGAUGCAACACGAAGAACCUUACCAGGGUUUGACAUACUAGAAGUAGGGACCCGAAAGGGCGACAAACUGUUAAGUCAGUAGCUAGAACAGGUGCUGCAUGGUUGUCGUCAGCUCGUGUCGUGAGAUGUUGGGUUAAGUCCCGCAACGAGCGCAACCCCUAUUGUUAGUUGCCAUCAUUCAGUUGGGCACUCUAGCGAGACUGCCGGUAAUAAACCGGAGGAAGGUGGGGAUGACGUCAAAUCAUCAUGCCCCUUAUGACCUGGGCUACACACGUGCUACAAUGGUUGGUACAACGAGUUGCGAGUCGGUGACGGCGAGCUAAUCUCUUAAAGCCAAUCUCAGUUCGGAUUGUAGGCUGCAACUCGCCUACAUGAAGUCGGAAUCGCUAGUAAUCGCGGAUCAGCACGCCGCGGUGAAUACGUUCCCGGGCCUU